rnacentral:rRNA from 1 species
GACGAACUGUGCAAACGUUAUUCGGAAUCACUGGGCUUGAAGAGUGCGUAGGCGGUUUCGUAAGUCGGGUGUGAAAGCCCCCAGCUCAACUGGGGAACUGCGUCCUAAACUGCGAGGCUGGAGUGAGGUAGGGGUGUGCGGAACUUCCGGUGGAGCGGUGAAAUGUGUUGAUAUCGGAAGGAACGCCGGUGGCGAAAGCGGCACACUGGACCUUGUCUGACGCUGAGGCACGAAAGCCAGGGGAGCAAACGGG